rnacentral:rRNA from 1 species
GAGGAAUAUUGGGCAAUGGAGGCAACUCUGACCCAGCCAUGCCGCGUGAGUGAAGAAGGUUUUCGGAUUGUAAAGCUCUUUCGGGUGUGACGAUGAUGACGGUAGCACCUAAAGAAGCCCCGGCUAACUUC